rnacentral:rRNA from 1 species
GAUGAACGCUGGCGGCGUGCUUAACACAUGCAAGUCGAACGAAGCACUUUAUUACAAUUUUUUCGGAAUGACGAUUUAGUGACUGAGUGGCGGACGGGUGAGUAACGCGUGGGUAACCUGCCUUAUACAGGGGGAUAACAGUUAGAAAUGACUGCUAAUACCGCAUAAGCGCACAGGAUUGCAUGAUCUGGUGUGAAAAACUCCGGUGGUAUAAGAUGGACCCGCGUCUGAUUAGCUGGUUGGUGAGGUAACGGCCCACCAAGGCGACGAUCAGUAGCCGACCUGAGAGGGUGACCGGCCACAUUGGGACUGAGACACGGCCCAAACUCCUACGGGAGGCAGCAGUGGGGAAUAUUGCACAAUGGGGGAAACCCUGAUGCAGCGACGCCGCGUGAGCGAAGAAGUAUUUCGGUAUGUAAAGCUCUAUCAGCAGGGAAGAAAAAAAUGACGGU